CUCCUAGGAUCUCCACGGUGGACCUGAGAACUUCUGAGUCUCCAUUCUCCUUCCCCAGCCACACAGCCGUGAGCCCUGCCCUGAUGCCCUUCACCCUCAACUUCAUCAUCACAAACCUGCAGUACGUGUCCGACAUGAGGCAUCCAGGAUCCGACAAGUUCAACACAACCGAGGCCAUCCUGCAGCGCAUACUUGGCCCUGUGUUCAAGAACACCAGUAUUGGCCCCCUCUACACUGGCUGCAGACUGACUUCACUCAGGUGAGAU